rnacentral:rRNA from 2 species
CUACGGGAGGCAGCAGUAGGGAAUCUUCCACAAUGGACGAAAGUCUGAUGGAGCAACGCCGCGUGAGUGAUGAAGGUUUUCGGAUCGUAAAACUCUGUUGUUAAAGAAGAACAAGUGUUAGAGUAACUGUUAACACUUUGACGGUAUUUAACCAGAAAGCCACGGCUAACUACGUGCCAGCAGCCGCGGUAAUACGUAGGUGGCAAGCGUUGUCCGGAUUUAUUGGGCGUAAAGCGAGCGCAGGCGGUUUUGUAAGUCUGCUGUGAAAGCCCUCAGCUCAACUGAGGAAGUGCAGUGGAAACUACAAAACUUGAGUACAGAAGAGGAAAGUGGAACUCCAUGUGUAGCGGUGAAAUGCGUAGAUAUAUGGAAGAACACCAGUGGCGAAGGCGGCUUUCUGGUCUGUUACUGACGCUGAGGCUCGAAAGCAUGGGUAGCGAACAGGAUUAGAUACCCUGGUAGUCCAUGCCGUAAACGAUGAAUACUAGGUGUUGGAGGGUUUCCGCCCUUCAGUGCCGCAGCUAACGCAUUAAGUAUUCCGCCUGGGGAGUACGACCGCAAGGUUGAAACUCAAANGAAUUGACGGGGGCCCGCACAAGUGGUG